GAUGAACGCUGGCGGCGUGCCUAACACAUGCAAGUCGAACGGCGCCCGGCCUUUCAGCCCUUCGGGUCAAUGAGGGGAGGACUAAGUGGCGGACGGGUGCGUAACUCGCGGGUAACCUGGGCCAUCUAGGGGGGUAGCCGAGCGCAAUAUCUGCUAAUACCGCAUAAGUACACGCUGCCGCCUGGGAGAGGGAGAAAAGAGAAUCGACAUGAGAUGGACCCGCGUCUGAUUAGCCCGUUGGCAGGGUAAGAGCCCACCAAAGCGACGAUCUGUAGCCGAGCUGGGAGCAUGAGCGGCCACAUUGCGGCUGCGUCGCGGCGCUGACUCCUACAGGAGGCAGCAGUGGGGGAUUUGGCACAAUCGCGGGAACCCUGAAGCAGCGCCGCCGCGUGAGUGAAGGAGUAUUUCGAUAUGUACAGCGCUAUCAGCAGGGCAGAUUAUGCCGGUACCGAAAUCAGAACCUCCCGCUAACUACGUG
rnacentral:rRNA from 1 species